UUUUUCUAAUUAUAUGACUUAUAUGGCUAUCUAUUGCUUUUACAUCUACAAUGAUGCCAUCUUUUUGUUGCAGGUUUAGCGGCUGCACAAGAGAAUGCUAAGAGAAGGGAUAGUUCUCAGGAUGGUCAACCCAGUGUAAUUUACAGGUUCUGUUGUUUGUCUGAUUCCUGGUUUUCAUGAGGUAUUGUGAAACACAACAUGCAGGGAAAUUCAUAUCAAGUGCAGAUCAUCAUAGAAGCUGAUUGUCAGAUGAUGCUAGCAAAAUCUGGGAUCAGACGAGAUGAAGGAAGAAAAACCGGUGUCAGAUAGGGGAAAAACAAAAUUUAUUAAAUAACAAGGGUAUACGCAUAUGUCCCUUAGAAUUUGCUACAUUACGCAAAUCAAGGUGAGCUUUUUAAGAGUAGUGUAGCUAAUUCAAAGGAAUGGGAGUGUGUAAGAUAUCCUUGUACAUACUCGUCCUCGAUAUGAUCCUUUCAACGUAGCUGUGACCUUGUCGAAGUCCGAGUUGAUACAACGCAGAAAAUGGUCCGAUGGAUUUCUUUUACUUGGACAUGGGAACCUGGCUUCUGCAAAGAAC